rnacentral:lncRNA from 1 species
CAGAAAAGUUUUCCAAGAAGAUGAAGCAGAUAGAAAACUGGAUGUAUUUGAACACUGGGGAAAAGUUUAGGGGUGAAUUAGUCAUAAUAACACAGGCAACAAGGAAAAUAAAAGUAAACAACACAUCCACUGAAUCUAGGGAGAAGGAAAUUUAUGCAAGAUAGGAAAAGUAAUUAUACCUUGCUGCAUGGCUCAAUUGUAAAUAGCAUUUACAUAACCUUAGUAGACUGGUCUAAGCAACAUAAAAUUGUAACUUUAUCGGGGGGUUAGAAGUCUGGAGGCAUGCAUGUGUAUAGUAAUGUGGGAGGAAGAAAGAGAGUUAAGUCUGUAUGUCCCAUCUUGGGAAGUCAAUAGAUUAUGCCUAAAACUGAUAAAUCAAGAAUGGCUAUUUGUAAGCAUUUCAUAUAUAUAGAGAGAUUAAUACCAAGAAAAAAUAGCUACAAGUGUCAACAGUGCAUAACACUGAAGAAUAAAAAUAUUGAAAGGAUAUCAGCAGGGGCCUUAUAUUUUAUAAUAAGCCACAUAGAUUUAUUUUGCUGUUUAAAUUCUAUGUCUGUAUAAAAUACAUUAAAACAAAAAACAUACAUUUUAAAAAGUUAGAUCCACACUCUUUAUAAAAAUAUUCAGAUGUAUUAGAAAUAGAGCUAUAACAUUAGAAUAAAGUUCAAUCAGAGUGAAGCAGAAAACAGAUAGGAGUGAGGGGAUUCUGCUGCUCAAAGCUACAGAAGAAAAUGAAGCGAAAAACAUCUGUCUAAUAAAAAGCUAAAACUAAAUAAAAAUCUGAAACUUUAUCAGUUAUGAAACUAAGUUUUAUUAUAAAGUAGCUCAUUCAAAUUAUGAAAACUAUCAAGACCUUGGGAGAUGAAUUUUAAAAAUAUUAUAUGACAAACUAGAAUGGGCUAAUUGUUAAAAAGAUAAAAUUUUCUGUUAAGUGAAAAAAGGAAGAUUUACCUUUAUAUGUAGCCAACUUAAAAAUCGUAACUCUAAAUAUUCUUGGAAUUAUGAUAAGCUUGUGUUGUAUAUGUAGACAUUGCCAGUCUCAAUGCAAAAUUUUAUGUCUAUUUGAGAAGAAUGAGAUAAUUAACAGCACUAAACAUGUGGAAUCUUCAAACUCUAUGACAAAGUUUCAGAGAUCUGAGAAUUUAUCCUAAGUAAAUAAUCAAGCAAAGAAAAAAAUCAUGCAUAGUAAGAUAAAGGUGAGAUAAAUUAUAAUUCCUUACCCUAUAGAGUGGCAACCUAAUUAUAAGAACCAUGCCACAACUCGAUCAGAUUGUUAUUAUACAAUAAAUAUCAAAAUAUAUAAGACAAUUCUGUAGUUGUGAUUUUUAUAUAAAAUGCAAAUGCAUAUGGACACAAUUGUCAAAAUUCAUAAAUUUGAAUGAAUGACUUUAGGGUGCUGGCCUGUGAAAUGACAUUUUGUAUCUUAAUUUUUUUUUUAAUGUUACAAAACAGGUUUGAAGUUUAAGUGUUAUCUGCAACACUUGCUGGUCAGUUUAGAAAAAGUACAUAUAUUUUAGAGCCUUAUUUUUUCCAUUUGAGAAUAAUUUUUAAAAAAUAACGUUUGCUCACCUAUCCCUGAGCAUUUUCCUGAGAAUCCAAUGCUAUAAUGUGUAUGAAAGCACUUGGUAAAUGCAAAGCACUUUAUUAACAGAUGAAGUUAUUGUUAUCAUUUUCAUCAGUAAACCAUUGAGAACAAUGCUUUGGCAGGAUUUUUUCUUCUCUCAACCACAGACAGAGCUUUAUCUCCCUGCCUCCAGAUGUGACACAUUAGAAGUUACUUGAGCUCAAGGUCAUUUUUUAACUUUGGCUCCUUAGAGAAGCAAUGGAAUAAACCAAAGAUCAAUGUGAAUGUUUUCCAAUAAAAUCAUCCAAAAGGAAUACCCAGGGAGGGAUGGAAAGCAUUCCAAGGACCCCACAGGAAGAACAAGUUUUUGAUAGCUCUGGACUGCUCUAAUAAGAUUGCCUUAGCCAUUGUCCAGCUUUCCAUUGGGAAAGACUUUCCUUGGUCAACUCCUAUUACAUUUCAAUGUUUCCUUGGUCAACUGCUAUUACAUUUCAGUGUCUUUGAGGGGCUCAAUCAGAGGGCCUCAAUCAAAUAACUUAAACUUAAAAUAUUUAGGCCCAAUCAUUACUACAGACCAGGAUCAAAUUGGAGUUCUUUUUACAUAAUUAAAAAUAUGUAUCAAUAAUUUUUCAACUUGAGAACCUCCCUGAAUUCAACAAUUAAAGUUUAGAGAUAACUGUUUGGGAAUUCUAGUUUGAUCUGUUUAUAGAAAUUAAAUACAGGAAGGCCAGAGACUACCUCAGUUGCCAUUCUCAUGGUUUGUUGUGUCAGGAACAUAAAAAGUAUGUGAAAAUAUGUACUGAAGUUGCUCAGUCAUUAUUUCUUAAGAAUAUUAUUGUAACAUGAGCUUUGUUAAAGUCUUUUUUAUUUGCCAUCUCUGUCUCCUUCAGUAAAAUGUCCGUUCAUGUUUUUUGCUCAUUUCAUAGUUGGACUUUUUGUUGUUUUGAUGCUGAGCUUUGAAAUACACAGCACUAACCCUUUAUGCAAUAUGUGGCUUGCAAAUAUUUUAUGCCAAUUUUGUGAGAGGCUUAAUCAAUUUUAUUGAUUUUUUCCAAGUAUCAGGUUUUGCUUUCAGUGAUUGUUUUUAUGUAGUUUUCCUGUUUUACAUUUAAUUGAUUUCUCUUCUUAUUUUUAUCAUUUCCUUCUUGUUUGCUUUAUUUUAUUGUGCUCUUCUUUUCUAGUUUCUUAAGAUAGAUACCUGGUUAUUAGUUUGAACUCUACUCAUUUUCUAAUGUAAGCAUUUGGGGCUAUACAUAUCUGUGUCAGCCCUCCUUCAGCUGCAUCCCACAAAUUUUGUUAUGUUUUAUUUUCAUUUUAUUCAAUUGCUUGCAUUUUAAAUUUUAUUUUAGACUUUCUCUGUGACCCAUGAGUUGUAUAGAAGUGUGUUUGUAAACUUCCAAGUGUUUGAGGCUUUUCCUGUCAUCUUUCUGUUAUUGCUUUUGAUUCAAUUAUGGUUGGAAAAAAUGUUUUAUAGGAUUUUAAUUCCUCUAAGUUUGUAAAUGUUUGCUUUAUGAGUGAGGAUACAGUCUAUCUUAAUGAACAUUUCAUGAGUACUUGAGAACAAUGUGUACUCUGCUGUUGGGUGGAGUAUUCAAUAAAUGUCAUUUAGAUCCUGUUAAUUGAUGGUCUUUUUCAGUUAUUCUAUAUCUUUGCUAAUUUUCUGUCUAGUGGCUCCAUCGGUUGCUGAGAGUAGGGUGUUGAAGUCCCAACUAUAACUGUGGAUUUAUCUUUUUAUAUGUCCAGCUCUAUCAAUUUUUGUUUCAUGUAUGCAUUAGUUUCUUAUGUUGCACUAAUAAAUUACCACAAAUUUAGUGGCUUAAUACAGCACAUAUCUAUUGUCACAGCUCUGCAGCUGGUCCGGGUGCAAUGGUUUUAGUACCUAUUGAGUAGGAAGUUUGCUCAACUUUAAUUUUUCAGUCAGAAUUGUGUAAGCUAAACCAGUUGAGAUGUCUAUGGUGUUUCCUAUUGUUUCUGCUGUUAGUCAUCAGUCAUCUUCAAUUAGGGCACAAACAAGAUGAAUUUUUUCUCUCAAAUUGAUAUGGAUGCAGAUAGUCAUUCCUUUUAGGUUUAACAUGUAAAUUUUGACAUUCUUUUGUGGGCUGUGGUUCCAAUGAUAAUUUGGUUUUCUGAGCCUUUGAAAUGCUAUUAUUGUCUGCUUCAUUUUUUUGGCUCUGCUCAAGUUUUCUCUGGAUCCAUGAGAGAGCUCCCUGAGGGGCUGAGGGUGCUCAUUUCAGCUACCCAGCAAAGUUAGAUAAUGGGGAGGAGGUGUGGGCAAGGGAUAGGUUGGCUACCCAAGAUCUUGUGGCGUGGCUGCUGCAGCUGGCCACCUAAUCUUCCUGAGCCUCCCUAAUCUCCUCCGCUUGACAUGGGAACUAACCAAGGUCAUAUAUGUAGAAUUCUUAGCCUGCACCAGUUCAUUAUCCCCAGUGGGAGAGUGAGGUACCGUUCAGCCAAGUAGGCUCAGCCCGAAAGAGUCUACUUUCCCUAAACAAAAUCUAAUCACGAGUUUCCUGGAAGAGAGAGCUAGUUUGACUGUUUGGUCAGGAAAAUGCCAUGAUUUAUAGAGUGAAGUGGAAUUUCAUUCAUUUGCUAGAAAAGAAAACAGAGACCCUGGGAGAUAAACUGGUAUUUGCCAAGCCAUGCAGAGAGCCAGCAGUGGUUUAUUUCCAGAGCCCAGGCCUCAUGGUCCCAGUGAAAUGUUUCUGUCAUGGGUCACGUAUGGACUUUCUGUUCUGCUGUGAUCCCAGUGAUGCCCAGCUUACCCUCAGGGCAUGCAAUUUAGAGUGUGAAAAAGAUGGAUCCUGUACCUAUUGGCUGUAAUGCUGUCCAUUUCAUACUUCCAGCCAGCAUCCAAUCAUUUAUUAAUCACUUACUGUGCGCAUUUGUAUACCCAAAGGUGUGUAGAAGACCAGACCUGGGCAUUGAAUUCCAGCUUUUAUACUACAUGCCUCUUAAUUUUGAACAAGUUUUUCAAACUCUUGGUUUUAUUUGUUUAUCUGUAAAAGUUGACACAAUCAUGACACCUAAAACAUGAGGUAAUAUAUUCUUAGAAGAGGGGCAUGACGUAUGUUAAUCUUUCAGAACCAUUAUACAAUAGCUAAAAUAAGUAAUAAGAUCCAGGCCCUGCUUUCUCCAUGCUUUAUCUCAGUGAGAACACCAAAAUUCAAAAGAGAUCUUGAAGAAGUUUCAGUAAGAUGAGAGAGCAGGAUAUCCCAGGCACCCUAGACCCUUUCUUUGCACAAUGAAGUCACACAUUCUUGGCUAUUUACCUUCUUUCUGUGACUUCUGACAAUACGGGCCAAAGUGUUCUGUUUAGGAAAAAUGCCUACUACAAGGGAAGUAGACUGACGUAAUCUUGGGAAUCACCCUCGUCCUCUUUCCCCCCUGCCUCCUCCUGCACCACUAAAUGCUCUUAAAUUUCCUUUAUCC